rnacentral:rRNA from 1 species
UCAAAGGAAUUGACGGGGAGCACCACAACGGGUGGAGCUUGCGGUUUAAUUGGAUUCAACGCCGAAAUCUUACCGGGACCGACAGCAAUAUGAAGGCCAGGCUGAAGACUUUGCCGGAUUAGCUGAGAGGUGGUGCAUGGCCGUCGUCAGUUCGUACUGUGAAGCAUCCUGUUAAGUCAGGCAACGAGCGAGACCCACGCCCACAGUUGCCAGCGUACUCUCUGGAGUGACGGGUACACUGUGGGACCGCCGCUGCUAAAGCGGAGGAAGGAAUGGGCAACGGUAGGUCAGUAUGCCCCGAAUAUCCCGGGCUACACGCGAGCUACAAUGGUUGGUACAAUGGGUAUCUACCCCGAAAGGGGACGGGAAUCUCCUAAAACCAAUCUUAGUUCGGAUUGAGGGCUGCAACUCGCCCUCAUGAAGCUGGAAUCCGUAGUAAUCGCGUUUCAACAGAACGCGGUGAAUACGUCCCUGCUCCUU